rnacentral:rRNA from 1 species
UACGAAGGGGGGCUAGCGUUGUUCGGAAUUACUGGGCGUAAAGCGUAUGCAGGCGGAUCGUUAAGUCGGGGGGUGAAAGCCCGAGGCUCAACCUCGGAACUGCCUUCGAUACUGCGGGUCUCGAGUCCGGGAGAGGUGAGUGGAAUUCCUAGUGUAGAGGUGAAAAUUCGUAGAUAUUAGGAAGAACACCAGUGGCGAAGGCGGCUCACUGGCCCGGUACUGACGCUGAG